rnacentral:lncRNA from 10 species
CGCAAAGCUCCGCGAGGAUCUGCGUGCCUGGCUUUGAUGCGGGGAUGCCCUUCGUAUGAUUAGACUGGAACUAAGUAGCCUGGAACAAACACCCUAAUCAGGGAGCAGGGAGCUCACGGAUGUCAGGAGAACAGGGCACGGUUUUCCACGGGAUGUGCCAAAACCAUGGUCAAAGGAAGUCAGCGAAGGCAAACUGUUUCUCACUUGGAGCUUGCCUCACUGUGAUGGCUCAUGAGGGACUCCCAAGAAGGCAGCCAACUCUGUGCAGUCCAUUCUGCAGGCCUGGAGUGCUGUUGGAUGAUCCUGAUGUCAAAGUAGGAGGUCCCUGUGGGAGGCGAGUGUGAAGGAAGUCAUCUGGGGUGGGUAAGUGGGUUUGCUAAUCAGGUUUGAAAGUGGAGAGAAGGGUGAGGGUGUAUCAGGGACCUUUUAAAAAUUUAUACCCGGUCUGCCACUUAGAGGCACCUCUAAGAGGCACCAUCCUGGUGUCUUGGUGGGCUUCCUCUCUUGUUUCUUUCCCUGGCCUCUUAAGAACACGCACACCUGGGCGUGGUGGCUCAUGCCUGUAAUCCUAGCACUUUGGGAGGCUGAGGUGGGCGGAUCACUGAGGUCAGGAGUUUCAGACCAGCCAGGCCAAAAUGGUGAAACCUUGUCUCUACUAAAAAUACAAAACUUAGCUGGGGGUGGUGGCACGUGCCUGUAAUUCCAGCUACCUGGGAGGCUAAGGCAGGAGAAUCGCUGGCACCCAGAAGGCGGAGGCUGCAGUGAGACAAGAUCACCCCACUGCAGUUCAGCCUGGGUAACAGAGCGAGCCUCCAUCUCAAAAAAAAAAAAAAAAGAGAAAAAAGAAAACACACACAUACGCACAAUGUGAAGGUGACUGUGGGAGCCUGCCUGACUUAGGCUGAGUCCUGCAAAAUCCCACACAAUGUGAAAGUAAAAUUGAGGCAGUUGUCAAUUAUUUAACGAACCUAAUGUGUUCUGACCCAGCGUUCCAGGCCAAGGUGUUCUGACCACACAAUGUCUGCAAGGUGGGGACAGUUGAUUACCAUCAUAUCGUCACUGUCACCAUCACAAGAGGACAACCCUGCAUCAGACAUGCCAUUGACCAGUGCAGUUCCCUUUGAUUUGUUCUCCUUCUUCCCAGCAUAGUUCCUGAACAUACAUGUCAAAUAAGUGUUUGUAAGUUCCAUGAAUUACAUAUUGAAAUUGUUAUCACUGCUAAGUCCACUAUAACAAACAAUACUGAUUAUAGAGCAGGAAUAUCUUUUGUAAUUAUAAUGUUCUUCAAACUUCUCUGAUCGACACACAGCAUAUUUAAACAGGGAUGAUCAAAAAUUAUGUGCACAGUGCGGUCCUUGUCUUCCCUUGGGCAGCACAAAAGCUCUCCUCAGUAGGUAACAGCCACCAGCCAGCCUUUGAGCAGCUGUGUCGAGAUGGAUUCAGUUUCUUUGCUGAGGGGGGGAUGCGGGGGAAGACACCCCUGCUUUUAAAUCAAAGACAAUUCAGUUUGGAGAAAGGUGUACCUUCUGGAAAUAAAUAAAAGGAGGCGCAGUGUAUUGUCAGCUGGCCGUCUUAAAUCAAUAAUGCAGGCAGUCUGUCUUGCAUGCCCAUUCUGUUGUGAGGGGGAGGAGCACCUGCCUAUAGGCUGGUCCCGAAAUAAAAGCCCUCGUCGGGAGAUGUCCAGGGGUGCAAGUGAGUCUUGCUCUGCUCUUCAAGGCCUUUCCGGAGCCAGGCUGGCAGUGUGCCUGUCAGGGGUCUGAGGAUGUUAAUGUCCUUUACAUCCAGAUCACAUCAAUCUGCGUCCAUUAUUUUACCAGGCAGGGACACCUGGAUGGGAAGCUCUAUUUUCUUUGAAUGGCCUCUGGCUUAUAAAACAAAACCAGCAAAGAGCACGUAAUCCCUUUGAGUAUUUGAGUUUUUGAGUGCCAGGUACUGUGAGAAGACUCUUGGUUGAAAAAAAAAAAUUAAAAAAAAAAAAAAGGAAGGCAGCAUUUUUAAAUCAUCUUCUUUGUUUACAAAGUGGUGACAUUCAGUCUUGAAUCAAAGGGAACAGUUUCCAGGUAGAAAAGUCUCAUGUUUGUUUUCUGUCAGCUACCAACUACCAGCACGUUUUUCCUCCAAACUUUGUGCAAA